rnacentral:rRNA from 1 species
GGCGGACGGGUGAGUAAUGCGUAGGAAUUUACCUCAAAGUGGGGGAUAGCCCGGAGAAAUCCGGAUUAAUACCGCAUAAGACCUAAGGGUGAAAAGGGGCCAAUUCUUGAAAGCUCUUGCCGGAAGAUGAACCUGCGUUAGAUUAGCUAGUUGGUGGGGUAAUGGCCUACCAAGGCGACGAUCUAUAGCUGGUCUGAGAGGAUGAUCAGCCACACUGGAACUGAGACACGGUCCAG